rnacentral:rRNA from 1 species
UACGGAGGGGGUUAGCGUUGUUCGGAAUUACUGGGCGUAAAGCGCACGUAGGCGGAUUAGAAAGUUGGGGGUGAAAUCCCGGGGCUCAGCCUCGGAACUGCCUCCAAAACUCCUAGUCUAGAGUUCGAGAGAGGUGAGUGGAAUUCCAAGUGUAGAGGUGAAAUUCGUAGAUAUUUGGAGGAACACCAGUGGCGAAGGCGGCUCACUGGCUCGAUACUGACGCUGAGGUGCGAAAGUGUGGGGAGCAAACAGG